rnacentral:rRNA from 1 species
UGGGGAAUCUUGCACAAUGGGCGAAAAGCCUGAUGCAGCAACGCCGCGUGCGGGAAGACAGCCCUAGGGUUGUAAACCGCUUUCAGCAGGGAAGAAACUGACGGUACCUGCAGAAGAAGAUGCGGCCAACUACGUGCCAGCAGCCGCGGUGACACGUAGGCAUCAAGCGUUAUCCGGAUUUAUUGGGCGUAAAGAGCUCGUAGGCGGUUCGGUAAGUCGGGUGUGAAAACUCUGGGCUCAACCCAGAGAGGCCACUCGAUACUGCUGUGACUAGAGUGCGGUAGGGGAGCGGGGAAUUCCUGGUGUAGCGGUGAAAUGCGCAGAUAUCAGGAGGAACACCAGUGGCGAAGGCGCCGCUCUGGGCCGUAACUGACGCUGAGGAGCGAAAGCAUGGGUAGCAAACAGGAUUAGAUACCCUGGUAGUCCAUGCCGUAAACGUUGGGCACUAGGUGUGGGUCUCAACCGAACGAGAUCCGCGCCGUCGCUAACGCAUU